GGGUGUGUAGACACAGCAAGAGGCAGAGCUCAGGUAGUCAGAGCUUGGGUCCUACCCGGAGGCAGCAGCUCUGUGAUGUUCCCCCAUCAGAAGGUGAGGACCCUGAGAGCCAGAAAGAAGAAAUGAGUUGCCUAAAAUUGCAGCUGGGGAGUGGGCAGGGCUGAGCUGUGAAUUCAUCUGGCUUGCUUCCAAAUACAUCCUUCCUGUACUCCAGGCUCUUGUGGAGGAUCCAGAGGAAACUUCCUCUGGGACUGUGGGUUAGUGGGUGGGGGUGUCCGUGGAGGGAUCAUUACACAGUGUGGCCGUUGCUGUGAUGAGAAGGUUCAUGGGCUGCUGAGUCCAGGAAAGAUGUCCAACAGGAGGGGACAAGUGAGAUCCAAAAACCAUGCCAGAGGGACUUCCCUGGAGGGCCACAGGGUGCUGACCUGGUUGGGAAACUAGAUCCCACAUCCCACAGCUAAAAGGACCCUGCACGCGGCAACUAAAACAAAUAGCCAACCAGCGGGACCUGCCAGACAGCACCUACCGGGUGCUGGAAUCGUUCCCAAAACUGUGCAUGCACUGAUUCAGAGUCCUCGCUCCCCUGGGUGAAGCAGGGACCACCGGCAGCCCCACUUCUCAGGUGAACAUCUGAGGCACAGGUCAUCUGCACAGUCCUGCAGCUAACGCAGAUGGUAGAGGUGGGAUUUGAACCCAGGCAGUCUGGCUCUCCUCCCCACACAGUCCUGCCUCUUGGUGGGAGAACAGUGUUCCAGGCAGAUGGAACAGCAUGAACAAAAGAAAGAAAUUUUCUUACCUAGUGAGUAAAUAGCUCUGACUUGGUGACUGCUCUGGGCUCUAGCCGCAUCUCCUGGCCCCUCUCCCAGCCAGUCCUGCCACUGACCCAGAAUUAGCUGCUCGAGGAAGCUGGGGGGCCUGGACGGGGCCACUUGGUUCAUAUUGGUGCCAACACAGUCCUCCACCUGCUCAUAUGCUCUCGUUGGGGUUGAGAUACCACCGCCGAUGGGCAUCAGUGGCCUGUGGACCACCCUUGGGAGAGGAGCAAAGAUCAGAGGAAGAAUGAAGACAGCCCACUUUGGGGAGCAGAGAUGUGCUUCUGGGUGGGGCUGGCCUGGAUUAGAGCGUCAGAGAAGCUGCAGAACCUCAGGCAGUGGUAACUAACCUGGCCUCUGGUGGAUUGCCUGUGUACGUCCCUUACCAGCCUGCCUUGGAGGGGGUGGGGAGGGGUCACCCGAGGACUCAGGCCAGUAGUCUCAGUGUCAUGAGAAUCUUCAAAUUGCCCUGAAGGAGACCAUCUGGCCCUUUGUGAGUAAGCCCUCCCAUUUUACAGAUGCAGAAACUGAGGCCCAGAGAGAAAAAGGCAUUUGCCCAAUACAUUUUUAUGGAGUCUGCCCAUGGACUAGUCUUCCAAGCUACCAUAGCACGUAGACAGUGUUUCACACAUUCUGUGGAAGACCUGUGUAUGCUUUGGUUUCCCUUGCCGUAUUUGAACCCCUUCCCCUAGUUUCUGAAAGGAAGGGUCUCUUCCAUAAACCACGAGGCCCAGCUCAGGGCAAGAGAGGCAUCUUUCCCAGUCAUUCUGGUGUUGCUGAGCUGGUUGGGACCCAGCCAGUAUUCUCAGGAACUAGACUUGCUGAAAUAGUAAUCCUGGAUGGUUUUGUGGGCUGGAACUCACCUGGUUCUGGAAGCCGGCUGGAAAGAUGCACAGGUGCAAUUAUUCUGGGAGUUUUGAGGAGGUGGGAGGUAGGAAGGUAGCUGGUUUGAAUUUAGCCCUGCGCUCAGGGGGCCUGUGACUCAAGACUUUAGCAGGGCUGUUAGCAGCCUGUUUUCAACCCGCUAAACUGAUUGUGACUUUUUAAGAAUAGGAGGUUCCCCUCUGUGGUUCCUUACCUUAAAAUCUGUCUCCGUGGUGCACCGCAGGGAAAUACUACAGUCCAGGUAGAGCUGACCUAAGCACACAGGAUGAAAGGCAGGGCUGGAAUUUGAAACCACUUCUGAGAUCUCUCCUGACUGCACUGAGCCACCAGCUGGCUCUACAGUUGGAACAGGAGUUUCCAGGGGAAGUGGAAGAGGAAGACCGCCUCCCCCUUUCAACAGAGGAAGAGGCUGCUUCCACGGCCACCAUCAGAGCAAUUCAGUAGAGGGAUUGAUCUUUCAAUAAGCCACCCAAAUGACGGUACAUUUACUACUUAUGUUACUGACAAGGAGCACGUGAGUAAUUGGAACGCGCUGUCGGAACAUGGCAGGUGGUUGAUAAUAUGACUUACAUCCUUGGGGGCUUGAGUUUAAGUUCUGUAAUAGUCAUGAUGAGAUGGCUGGAUGGCAUCACUGACUCGAUGGACGUGAGUCUGAGUGAACUCCGGGAGUUGGUGAUGGACAGGGAGGCCUGGCGUGCUGCGAUUCAUGGGGUUGCAAAGAGUCGGACACAACUGAGCGACUGAACUGAACUGAACUGAAUAGUUAUCACAAGGGCCCAAGCUAUAAAAUCUAACACAGAUGAACACCACGGAUGUUGUUCAGAGAUGCUAUGACUCUGGUAAGGAUAACAGUUACAGAAAUUGGGGAUGGGGUACAAAGAAGGAAAGAGGUGGCCAUGCCCUUACUGAAUAAAUGUGAAGGGAAUUCAUGACGGUCCAGUGGUUAGGACUCCACACUCACACUGCCAGAGCUCAGGAUUGGAUCCCUGGUGGGGAAACUAAGAUCCUGUAAGCCAUGUGGCAUGGUCAAAAAAUAAAUAAAUUGAAAGGGGAAAAUAUAUAUUCCCUGCUUAGAUAGAUCUCAGUCUCUGAGGAACCUGUACCUUUCCUGUUUCUUAAAUCUUAGCUUAUUUCUCAUAACGACAAGAGCCAUUGUGCCCAUCCUUCCAGGAUAAGUAUGAGUAUAUGUUUGUUGUCUGGCUGUUGCAGGCUCAGAGAUUUUACAAUUCAAUAGGAACUCAGACUUUUUUCCUCUCUUGUCAUCACUUGAUGCUUUUCUUUGGGAGGGCGUGAAUUGGCAUUGCUUAAUUAAGCAGAGACAGCUAAAAUAUGCUUCGGGAUCUAUCUUCAGCCAUCUACAGGAAUUUCUGCAGAGGACACCAGUUUGUACUCAGAACAGGAGAAGAAGGACUUAAAUACACUGGAGAGAUUUAGCUUAGAAGUUGGGAGGAGAAGGGAGCCAAGAAUGUGAAAGGUAAAGAACACAGAUUCUGGGGUCCCACAGGCUCGAGGUCAAGACCUUGCACAAGGCUAGUUGCUUCUCUGAGACACAUUUAUCUCCAUUGUAAGAUGGGGGUGACAGUGCCCCCCGCAAAGGGUAUUAGCAAGAUGAAAUGAAAUAAUAUAUGUCAAGCACUCAGCACCAUGUCUGACCUAGAGCUCACUGCUAUUAGUAUUACCAUUAUUGAAUGUCAAGUGGAUGAGCAUUGUGGGAAUGCGGGCGAGAGCUCCACAAAGGAAACAGACCCCGUGAAGCUGCUACUGUCAUUCACAAGCCGGUGGACCGAGCGAGUUGCAGCCACUCUGCUCUGGGAUUUCAGGACUCUAAAAAUUGGGGUAAUGGUGAUUUGGAAGGAGGCUCCCUUAGAUAUUCUGGGAGCCAGUGCACAGAUUCGGUAGCAAUUCGUGGACUUUCUCCCAAUGAAAUGUUUUGAAAUGUUGGGUCACUUGGUUUCCCCUUAGGCUAUUUUGCUCUGAGAAAAAACAUCUCAGCUGUUUCAGUUCAGAGUCCCUUAAGCGUGGCUGAUGGUAAGGGUGGCCCACUUUUUUUCUUAUUGCAGUAGUUUAAUUGAAAUAUAAUCACAUACUAUACAAUACACUCUAGGCAAUCAAUCACUACUCUACUUUCCAACUCUAUAGACUUGCCUAUUCUGGAAAUUUCAUAUGCUACAGAUAAACAGAAUCAUGCAAUAUUGGUCUUCUGUGACUUGGCUUCUUUCAUUUAGCGUCAUGUUCUCGAGGUCUAUCCAUGUUGUAUCAUGCAUCAGUACUUCAUUCCUUUCUCAUGACAGAAUAAUAUUGUAUUAUAUGGAUAUAGUAUAUUUUGUUUGGGCUUCGCUGGUAGCUCAACUAGUAAAGAAUUUGCCUGCAGUAUAGGAGACCCCAGUUCAAUUCCUGGGUCAGGAAGUUCCCCUGGAGAAGGAAUA